UCGGCGUGGCAGGUCUCGAACCUGCGCUCUCCUGGACCCAAACCAGACGACUUACCAACUAGCCUACACGCCG
rnacentral:tRNA from 1 species